GACGAACGCUGGCGGCGUGCUUAACACAUGCAAGUCGAACGGAAAGGCCCUGCUUUUGUGUUGUGCUCGAGUGGCGAUCGGGUGGGUAACACGUGAGUAACCUGCCCUUUACUUGGGGAUAACUUCAGGAAACUGGGGCUAAUACCUGAUAGGAUCUCCUGCUGCAUGGUGGGGGUUGGAAAGUUUCGGCGGUUGGGGCUGGACUCGCGGCUUAUCAGCUUGUUGGUGGGGUAGUGGCUUACCAAGGCUGUGACGGGUAGCCGGCCUGAGAGGGUGACCGGCCACAUUGGGACUGAGAUACGGCCCAGACUCCUACGGGAGGCAGCUGUGGGGAAUAUUGCACAAUGGGCGGAAGCCUGAUGCAGCAACGCCGCGUGCGGGAUGACGGCCUUCGGGUUGUAAACCGCUUUCGCCUGUGACGAAGCGUGAGUGACGGUAAUGGGUAAAGAAGCACCGGCUAACUACGUG
rnacentral:rRNA from 1 species